rnacentral:misc_RNA from 1 species
CGACUAUCUCCUGGUGAGUCCCCUGCUCAUCUUCAACCCUCGAAGAUCGAGCCUCCAAUUAUAGUAAUCACCUUCGUCGUCGUUCCCGCUGCCGAUGCCGAUCCAAUCACAUCAGCGCCAUGGGACCCGGCUGUCCUCCCCUCACGUGCUCAUCUAAUUGAUCUCGCUCCGUCCACCAUACAAAUCUCUCAAUCCCCUCCAAUCUCGAACUCUGCCGCUAUGGAGAAGUACGAGAUGGUGAGGGAUAUCGGGGCCGGCAACUUCGGCAUCGCCAGGCUCAUGCGGAACAAGGUGACUAAGGAGCG